GCAGUCGGGCGUGCGAAUGAUCAGAGGAGAGGAGAGAGAUACAAGCCAGCGUCCUCACAAAUCUGGUGUCUGCAAUUACAGAGUUACGUGAAUCGGUCGUACAUAUCAAGGUCUUCAUAUGAGGACGGUGACAUACGCUAUGACGUCAUUUCAAGAAUGUUUUCAAGAUGAGGAACUUUGCAGUACUCGAUUUUUGUGUGUGGAUUGAACCUUCUUCGGCGGGAUUGGGUUGCAUCGUGGACAUUACAAGCAAGUGCGCUGUGGGUUGUUUCCGACAAGUUUUGUGACUACUCGGAGUUUUCAGACCACCGACAAUUGGUUUUAUGUCUGUCUCAUGUGUACACGUAGAUGCUUUCAACGCCUCCUUAUGAACUUUGAAGGGUGCGUCUCUCUUGUAUUAUACUUAAGAGGUACGAGGGUUUCUGAGGAUAGGAAAUUUUAGGAGCAAGCUGCAGAAUUCCCUACGGAAUCGAUGCCAUCCAGCAUCUCGUGCAGGACUGUGUGGAGAGUAGGAUCUGCUGUUGGUGGAGUACGAGAGGAUCUUGGUUGCCGUGCCAGAAUCGGACCAUGUCUACUCUGCCAGUCACGCGAAGCUUAGGGCGCGGAGAUGGUGACAUGAGAAUGAUUGAAAUAUAUCUGGAGUACGCAGACACGGUAACAGCACAUCAAGAACCCAGCAAGAUGAAGUCGAGGCUCUUGGCAUUAUCCUCGUAUGCCGAAUCCCAAUGUUUAACAGGCCAAGCAGCACUUGACGGACUUCGGAGCUUGUGCUUGCAUCUUCAAGCUAAGCUAUUGGAUGCGCGGAAUUUUUCAGUAUUUUACCGCUUUGUUUUUUUCAUGUGUCGGGACCCAGGGCAGAAAAAUAUUUCUGUCAGUACGGCUAUAGCCGGGUGGAGAUUGGCGUUGACUGGGCGUUUCAGAUUACUCGAUCAAUGGUGUGCCUUUGUUCAGGUGCAUCAGCGACAUGCUGUAUCAGAAGAUACGUGGAGGCAAGUUCUUGAAUUUAGCCGUAGUGUACAUGAAGAUCUUAGCAACUACGAUGUAGAGGGUGCUUGGCCGGUACUGGUGGACGAAUUUGUCGAGAACAUGUACAGGAAAAACGCUUGUUCUCGUUGUAGAAAGAACACGCAUUGUGUUUGUGAUUGUGGAGUAGAUCCAAUGCCGUUGAAUACCGAUGAUUCUUUAGAGUCGUCUUUGAACUGCCGAACCAGUACAUUACCAGGUAUGGCAGCGCAGGCUGGAAGCAAGAGACGCUUGAAAGACCCCAGGGAGGAGGCCGCUCAAGCAGAAUCAGUUAACUGUCUCUCCCAGCAGUUGGCGAGGAUCCCUAGUUCUGUGAUCACCAAGCGCAUGCGGACAAGUGAAAAUGCCACAUCCGAAGUAUCCGAUCCCAUGGAAGGCGCCGAUGGGGAGGAGGGACGAGGUGUUUGGCACCAACGUGACAGAGCUAACAUUACGAAUCAGUUUGCGCGAGGAUUAUUUACGUGUCAGGACCUGCCAUCACACUCGAGCAGAAAUGGCUAUGAUGUUCUCCUGUCCGCUACAUGGCAGCAAUGUCCAAGUCAGGGCAGCAUUGACAACCGUCGAUGGAGUCAGUUGAACUUGUCUUCUAGUUUCCAGAAAGCAGAAAUAACUACUGCCUGUGGAGGUUAUCCUGCAUUCUUGAGUCCACAACAGGACUUGCUUCUCCAUCAAUAAUGCCAGACGUCGUCGUCGUCGACUUUCCCUUAGGCUGUAUACAAAGGAUUGCAUUUGGUCCAGGAAAAGCUAAUACAGGCUGGCCAGGAAUUCUGGAUGCUGUAGGUGUUCGGAUGGGACCGUGUGGAAGGUGGCUGGGUGGAACUCCAGCUCGGCAGCUGCACAGAUUUAAAGCCUGCCGGUUGGGCAAUGAUUCUCUGUUCUCAGUGCUUUCUUGUUGAGACGCUUCGCAAAGCCUGCUUGAAGGACCAUAUAUUGUAAUGAAGGGACCCUUCUGUCAUCAAAUUCUGCUGUUGGGGUGGAUAAACGUAGAAAUGUGUAAUAGAAUCAGGUUGAAAGCCAUUGUUCCUCUUUGCAAGGUGAGGUGCUUGGUGUAAGUCCUUGAUACUGGGUUGAAUACACAACAUAAAUUACACCAGCUGGGAUGGCAUCUGGGUAAGCAACAACUGCCACGCCCCCCAUACAAACCAUUGAAUAUACUAUGUAAAAUGUUUCCAACCGGACAUCAAAAUUUAA